rnacentral:lncRNA from 1 species
UUUUUUUUUUUUUUUCUUUUUAAAGCUACACCUGCAGCAUAUAGAAGCUCCCAGGCUAGGGGUCAAAUCAGAGCUGCAGCUGCAACCAACACCACAGCUCAUAGCAACGCCAGAUCCUUAACCCAAGGAGCGAAGCCAGGGAUCAAACCUGCAUCCUCGUGGAUACUAUAUCCGGUUCUUAACCCAAUGAGCAGCAACGGGAACUCCUGCUGUACAGUUUCUAAAGCAAGGACCCCCCUGACUUCUAGAGACAGAGACUCGGACACUCUACUGGACGUCCUUGGCGAGGGACAGGAUGAGCUGCUGCUGGACAGGAUGCCUCCCGCACAGAGCCCACGGGUGGGGGUGAAACAGGAACAGGCAGUGUUGGGAGGCUGGGUGCCUAUCAUUCAGCAAGAUGGGUCAGAGUCCAGCUCCAGGCCCCACUGCCUGCCCAGUGCCUGCCCCAGUGCCUGCCCCAAUGCCCAAUGCCUGGGUAACUUUAGGCACAGGACAGUGAGCUCUCUGGGUCUCAGCUCAGGGAUCACAACAACGCCUGCGCCGGGGUCUUGUGAGGAUUAGCUGGAAUAAUCUCCACAAAGCCCUCGGCACCGCGUUUGGCUCACGGGAAGCAUUUAAUAACCACCAGCUUUUAAGAAAGGACCAUCCAUUCUCUCAACUUCCUUGGCAUUGACCCUGUGGACAGGUGGGUGUUCGCUCCACUUCCAGCUGAGAAGACUGAAGAACAAACCCCCACAAAGCAAGAGGCCAGCAACACCAGGGUGCAAGCCCUGGUCAGCGAGGCUGUGGGCUGAUGCCCCUGCUGUCCUGCCCAGGGCCACCACCAGCCGGGGGACCUGAGCACCACUUUGGCUGGACCAUCAGGCCUCCGGUGACUGCAGGGCUCUAUUUCCUCUGUCCCUGUCCCCUGAGGUUUCUUUCAAGAGUCCCGAGAAACCACAGGACCCCUUGUGCCUCCAGGAGAUGGCAGCAGUAGGAAAAAAAAACUUUUAAAGACAAGAAAAAGAAAAAAAUAUUUCCUUCUCUGGGGAUGGGGGCCCCCAGCCCUGAGAAGAGGGGUGCGCUCCAAGCCUCUUUCUGCCCCUGCCCUUGGCCGCUCUAGGCAGGAGCUCAGCUUGCUGGGUCCUGCCUUUACACCCGGCCCCCCAUGGAGCUGCAGGAAGGCAUCAUGAAUGCUUUUUGACUCCCCCUCGGUGUUUUUCAGUAGUUUAGAAAAGCGCCCCGCAGAAUGCUUGGAGUCGGAUAAAAAGUUCAUCUUUGCAAAGCCGCCUCCUCUCUCUUUCCAGUUUCUUCUCUCGCACUCCACUCCGGCCAGCUUGCUUGAACGCUGCGUUCAAACACCUUUCUCUCUCAAGCACAAGCCCUAAGAGGGAUUUGGGGGAGCAAAGUUAGAGCCAUGGAGAAGCUUAAAAAGAGGAAACAGGCCAGUCUGGCCAUUUCUGCCUUCAAUGCCUCCCCAAAAUUGGAGUAAAGGUUAAAUGAAACGCAAGUCUGCAGCCUGCCCGGGACUCGGGGUAACUACCCUGGUAAAUUGCUGUGGAUAAAAUGGUAGAAACGUGGUGCAGGCAAAUACAGGAAAACCAGAAAGAAACCAGCUUUAGGAAGAAUAAAGUGGCAAGGAGGGAAAACCACGCCAAAGACCCAAGCUGCUUCCAUCAGGGUCCUCGGUGGGGAGGCCCUGGGCUCUGAGCAGCGGCUUUGUGCUCCCGGGAAAAUUGGCCGCAGGGGAGGGAGGGCGUGCUGCGCCCCGACAGCCAGGCAGAGCCAGGCGCCCGGGUUACCCGGCAGCACGGCCCCGAGGCGGCCGUAAACGCUCCGCUCGCGACCGGUGGAGCCACAGCGCCAUCAAGCGGCCGUUCUCAGAAUAGCCGCGAAGGAUUCAGGAACGAGGUCCAGGGCUCCCAGCCUUUCCUGGCCCUCGGGGAGGGUCUGAAGCUGGGCCUGGGCCCGUCAAGCUGUCACUCUGAGCCCUGCGGCAGGAGCCUGCAGACGGACACCAGCUGUCCAGGCAAACGACACAACUCAGGUCUGGCCUGGAACCGGUGCCCCAGAGGAUGCUCAGGGGCAGAUUUUGCAAUCCUGCACGCUCUCCUCCAGCUACUUACUCCAAGCAAAAGGUCUGCUUCCCAAACAGAGUGGGGCCAGAGGAAAGGGGAGAUCUGAUGGGCAGUGGGAUGGCCGGCCACACCAUCCAGGGCUGCAGAGAGGCACACACAGCAAGGCAUCGGGAAUUUCAGCCCCAGGCCUGGGAGAUGGGCCAUUGGUACAUGUGACCCCAGAGUCUGGGCUUGAACCCUGCAACGUCUACAGACCUAGAACACAACUCUCCUGAGACACAGCACAUGAUUCCAUGCGCCUCCCAGAACGGAAUCUGGUCCUCAGAAACAGCGUAUGGGAUUAGGGGGUAACUACCUCAAGACCACGUGAUCUCCAUCCAUAGACCCCUGGAGGAACCCAACGGAGGGGCAAAAAAUCCUUAGAACACCAGCCGGGAAUGUGCAUAUUAAUAAGAAUAUUAUAUAACAGGAAAUCAGAGCAAAGGCAUUGACACAUCAUCUUAUUUAAUCCUUGCAACCACCUUAGAACAUCUGCAUCUUUAUAAUUUUUGUUUUACGGAAAAGGAAAGGGAAGUACCCAGAGGUUACAUAACUCGCCCAGGUCUGCAGCUGGCAAGUGGCAAAGCCAAGCCUGGAUCUCAGAGCCUGGAACAUGGGCCUUGGUAACUGCCUCUUCAAUUCCAUCUUUCUACCCAGCUCCCCCUCCCAACCACAGACCCAGGUUUUGUGGGACCUGAAGCUUGUACAUUUUUUCUGGAGAGAGGGGCAGCUUCUUCAAGGAAAAAAAAAAAAAAAAGAAAUGAGAGGAGUUCCUGUUGUGGCACAGAGGAAAUGAAUCCGACUAGGAACCAUGAGGUUGUGGAUUCGAUCUGUGGCCUCGUUCAGGGGGUUAAGGAUCCAGUAUUGCCGUUAGCUGUAGUGCCGUUUGCAGAUGCGGCUUGGAUCUGGCGUUGCUAUGGCUGUGGCGAAGGCUGGCAGCUACAACUCCGAUUAGACCCCUAGCCCGGGAACCUCCAUAUGCCACGGGUGUGGCCCUAAAAAAUAAUAAUAAUAAUAAUGAGGUUAGAAAUCCAUAGGAGGGAUUAUUAUUUCUAAAUCCACAGUCCAGUUGGUAGAGGGUAUGGGGCCCCUGGGGAGAUGAAGGCCGGGCCCACUUCUGCGCUCUCCCAUCUCCCCUGCUGCUGGUUCUCCCGAAUUCCUGCCUUUGCGCCCCCGCCUCCACUGCUCUGGCCUCUGCAACUGACAAUCAUGCCCAGAGAGUCCCUGAAACUGCUUUGACUCCAGGUGGCUCAGUGACACCCCAACUGCCAAGUACACCGAGUCCUCUGCAGCCCUUCCCUCCCGGACAAAUUUGCAGCCCUGACAUUUCCCCCUUCUGGAAACUCUCCUGAUGCGCUGGACACACCAUUUUCCUGAUUUUUCUCUUGCCAUCCAGCCUCUCCAUCUCUGUGUUCCUCAGUGUGGAGUCCCCAUCACCCGUUCCCAAAAUGUCCUGGUGAGCACGGGCACAGAAAUGUCGGCAACCUCACUGACGGCCAAACCUGAGGUUUCACACCUGACCUCUGUAAGAGCUGUGUGACCUUCGGCCAACUAGUCACCCUCUCUGAGCUCACCAUCUUGUCUGUCUGAUAAGGAUACAGACCAUAAGUUAUUUAGGAGAUUGAAUGAGAUAACAGAGGUAGCUCUGAGCACUAGAUCGCUAUUUUCAGGACCUGGAGAAUCAUGUUGGCCAUGGGGUCCUCCCAGAUCUUGUCUAAAACCCCCCUUUUUUCUGCUGAUUUCUGAACCAUGCUACUGACUAUCCAGCACGGAGGCAAGACCUCAGGACCCAUCUCCCUGGAUCCACACCAGGGGUCCCCCUCAGCCCACCCCUCCUCUCCCACCUGUCCUCAGGUUCUCCUGAUCUCUCGCCCUGGGACCUCUGGCCAGCCUCCUAAAUGAGGGGCUUCCCUGCAGCCCGCCCAACCCGUCCUCCCCGCACAGGCGUGCAUACCUUCGAGCCAGCUCAGAGGGUGCUCUUUUACCACUUAAAACCCUGCCAUGUCUCUCCUUUCUCAUCAGUAUGAAGUUCAACCCCACCACGAAGCCCAGGAUUAUCAGACUCCUGUUGCCCCUGUGCUUGCAUCAUCUCCCCCUAAAAGCCCCUGAAGGGUUGCCCCCUAAAGGAUUCACUUGGACAUCCCAAACUACCUGCAUUUCCCAAUGUGGCACCAGGCGUCCCCUCCCCUCUGCACCUGGAAUGCCCACCAGUCUCUACCAACCACCUUCAGAGCCCAGUUCAAAUGUCACCUCCUCUGGGAAGCCUGCCAGGAUGCUCCCUUGAAGUUCGGGACCAAUUCUCUGCAUCCUGUGGAUACCAGGAUUGCAGCACUAUUCGGACCUACAACAGAAUUACUGAUUUCUUGUUUCAGAGGCUCUGUGGGGAGCGCUUUAAGAGCAUCAGCAUCUAAAAAGGCAAGAGAGGGAGCUCCUGUUGUGGUUCAGCGAGUCAAAAACCUGACAUGUCCAUGAGUAUGUGGGUUCAAUGCCUGGCCUCACUCAGUGGGUUAAGGAUCUGGCAUUGCCGUUAGCCGUGGUGUAGGUCGCAGAUGAGGCUCAGAUCCGGUGUUGCCAUGGCUGUGGCUGUGGCUGUGGCUGUGGCUGGCAGCUGCAGCCUGGGAACCUCCAUAUGCCACGGGUAUGGCCGUGGGUCGGAAAGAAAAAGGUGAGAGAGUGCACUAGACAGGAGGGUGGGUCCUAGAAUCAGACACCCCGGGGGCAAAUCUAGCUCUAUUUAUCCCGUCACCACAGCUGGGUGACGUUCCAUCACUUCUCUAGGCUUCCACUUUCUCACCUCCAUCACGAGCUAGGGAUGGGCUCUCCUUACAGGUGGCGGGAAGACGAAAUGGCUUAGAAGCCUGCCUUACGCCGCCACAGACCAAGGGAGGUAAAACGCCACCCCAAACGCAAUUUUCAACAUGCUAGGAGCCGCGUUGAAGAGCGAAGAAAUAAAUAAAUAAAAAUAACAGCCGAAACGAAUUUUAAUCGUAUUUUAACCCACCGUAUCUCCAACCUUAUCGUUUCAACAUAAAAAUCGAUAUUUGAAAAAUUUUUUUUCAUGAGCUAUUUCAUUGCCUUCUUCAUCCAGAGCCUCUGAAAUCCAGGGUGCAUGUUCCACUAAGCGCACAUCUUAGAUCACAGGAGUGACAUCUGAACGGCUCCCAGGUCCCAGGCGGCUCCUGGCUGUUGUCCUGGGCAGCACGUUGCGUGUGACUCUCCCGGGGAAAGGACUCCUGGAAGCUUGCGCCCCGUCUCCCCCGGACGUCACGCCGUGAGCCUUUUCCCUUUGCUGAUUUUGCUUUUUACCCCGCCGGUGGAAUGGAUCAUAGGCCUGUGUACACACACCUACGUGCUGAGCCCCGAGAGUCCUCCCAACGCGCAAACCGUGGAACCAGAAUCCUCUCCGGAGGCAGGCUUUCCGGGAGGACAGCGGGAUGGAACGGGGUCUGCACAGCCAGGCGGUCCCUCUCCCGCCUCUGGGCACCCCCCAUUCCUCACGCAGAACCAGAUCGGAACCGGCCCCCGGCAGGUGCAAUAACCCAUUUAUAUUUCCGAGCUGCCACAAGAAGCCAUUUUCCUUGGUCUCUGCCUCCCAAGGCCCGGCGAUCACUCUGGAGGGGGAUUACAUAUUUGCGGAGGGUUACUCAGUGUCCUCUCCAAUCUAACUGCCUUUCUCUACAGGGUUAUGAUAAGCUAACGUGAAGGAUUUCACCACGACAGCGUCAUAAGCGAGAGUUUUUAUUUAUUCCUCCCUAAGACUCAGGUGUUAUUCCUUCCAUUUCACUCAUGACUCAUAUCAUUUGCCCAAGGUCACCCCGUGAGUACAUCCUGCCCCAAACACGUUUAUUACAUGGCAAACACUAAUGAGUCUUAUUCUAAAACAAACAGAAGGUGAGCAUUCCGUGUCCAGGCUGGCUGUGCAGCAUUCUGAGAACACAGGCAUUGAGAAUACCACCCGUGUGGUCAGGGCUGGCUUAUCAACGGCUGUGACGUCUGUCCUGCUGCCCCACCCACCCCCUCAGCCAGACCUGCCCUAUCCAGGGGCCCCGCAAUCCAAGAGCCUGCAAAAAACUCAGUCUGACCCACAAGCACUGAGUGAGCUUGGAUGCAGACCCCGCCCCACUUGAACCUUCAGCCUUGACUGCAGCCUCGUGAGAAACCCUGAGCCCGAGGACACUGCUAAGCUGCACCCAUAUUCCUGCUCCACAGAAACCUGAGACAGUAAUAAAUGUUAGUGGGGGUUGGUCUUUUGUUUUGGCUUUUUAGGGCCGCAUCUGCAGCAUAUGGAAGUUCUCAGGCUUGGGGUCAAAUCAGAGCUGCAGCUGCCAGUCUAUGCCAGAGCCACAGCAACACAGGAUCCCAGCCACGGCUGCGACCUACACCACAGCUCCCAGCAACGCCAGAUCCUUAGCCCACUGAGCGAGGCCAGGAAUCAAACCCGAAUUCUCAUGGACACUAGCUGGAUUUGAUUCCGCUGUGCCACGACGGGAACUCCUAUAUGUUAGGGUUUUGAGCUGCUGAGUUGGGGGCGAUUUGUCUUGGAGCACCUCCUUCUCUCUGGAGGAUUCCUGGUGAGCCCAUGAGCCUUUACCUCCUUCAUCCAAGGGCCUGGAGGGCAGACCUCUGGGUGAGCCGGGGCGCAAAUCCCUCCGGAAAAGCAUCGCCUUUCGGCUCCUAGAGCCCCUGCUUUACCCAGAUCUCCACACGCCUCCUCAGGUCCAUCCCGUAUCAGCAUCUUCUCCUCUUCCACGCACUGCACACACAUGUGCACACACACACACACACGCUGGGCCCAAGUGUGCUUCUGUCCCACAAUUUACGAUCCCGUCAAAAGUCAUGCCUAUUUGUGUAUU